CCUACGGGAGGCAGCAGUGGGGAAUAUUGCGCAAUGGGCGAAAGCCUGACGCAGCGACGCCGCGUGAGGGAUGAAGGUCUUCGGAUCGUAAACCUCUGUCAGCAGGGAAGAACGGUCACUGUGCUAAUCAGCAGUGAAUUGACGGUACCUGCAAAGGAAGCACCGGCUAACUCCGUGCCAGCAGCCGCGGUAAUACGGAGGGUGCGAGCGUUAAUCGGAAUUACUGGGCGUAAAGCGCUCGUAGGCGGUAUGUCAAGUCAAGGGUGAAAUCCCCGCGCUCAACGUGGGAACUGCCUUUGAAACUGGGAAACUGGAGUGUGGGAGAGGAUAGUGGAAUUCCAGGUGUAGGAGUGAAAUGCGUAGAUAUCUGGAGGAACAUCAGUGGCGAAGGCGACUAUCUGGCACAUAACUGACGCUGAGGAGCGAAAGCGUGGGUAGCAAACAGGAUUAGAUACCCGAGUAGUC
rnacentral:rRNA from 1 species